rnacentral:rRNA from 1 species
AUGGCCCGCCUCCUCCUCCCUCGUAGCCUCAGCUAUUCCACCUCCGCCGCCGACAUGGUCGUCUCCUCCAUCCGCCUCCUCUCCGCCACCAACCCCACCAAAUCAGCCCCAGCCUCCGCUCCCCUUCUCCCCAUUAACCCCAGUCCCGAUCCGGUAGCAGCUCCUCCUCCCACCACCACCAUCCUCCUGUCCCCGGCGGACCGCCUCCGCGGGGUCUUCCUCCAGAAGCCCACCGGCCGCGCCGCCCUCCACCGGGCCCUCUCCUCCACGGGCCUCGACGCCCUCUCCCCGGAGGUUCUCUCCGAUGUGGUCAGCCGCGGCAACCUCAGCGGUUCCGCCAGCGUCGACCUCCUCGACUGGGCCAUCUCCAGCGCCAAGCUCCCACAUUCCGUACAUACCUGCAACAUCGUCAUCAGGGCUCUGGGCAGGAGGAAGUUCUUCACCUCAGUCGAGCCUGCCCUGGAGGUAAUGCGGAAAAAUGACAUCUUUCCGGACCUAACCACACUGCAGAUCGUCAUGGAUACUCUGGUUGCUGCCAGGCAGGUCAACAAGGCCGUCCAACUGCUCGAGAGCGACCAAUUUGGGUUAGGAAUUGGGCAAACUUGCCACAGAAAGGAGGCCUUCUCUGCUCUCAUCGAAUGCCUCUGCCGGAGGUCACAUGUCGGCGUUGCCAGCUCGCUCGUACAGGUUGCCCGUGGACAACCAUUCAGUCUUGAUAAACAAGUGUACAAUGACGUGCUUGGCGGUUGGGCGAGGUUUGGGAGGGUUGAUAAGCUGCAGCAUUUCUGGGCAAUGAUGCAGGAGGAUGGGCUAGUGCCAGAUGAUGUUUCGCAUUGCCAUCUCAUUGAGGCAUUGGGGAGGGCAGGGCAGGCCGAGGAGGCGCUCAGGGUGUUUGAGAAAAUGGCGCAAGAGGGAUACGGUCCAACUACGAUGGCCUACAAUGCACUUGUUUUCAAUUUUAUUUCACUGGGGGAUUUGGACAGGUCCAUUAGGUAUUACAAGGAUAUGGCGGACAAUAAUUGUCCUCCAAACAGUGACACAUACUGCAAGAUGAUUAGAGCCCAUCUGAAAGCACGCAGGGUGGCUGAUGCACUUCAAAUGUUUGAUGACAUGUUGGCUCAAGGAGUUCUGCCAGAUACAGGGGUAAUUACAUCAUUCAUUGAGCCACUUUGCACGUUUGGGCCUCCUCAUGCUGCCUUGAUGAUCUACCAAAAGAGUAGGAAGGCUGGGUGUACGAUAUCCUUGAAAGCAUACAAGCUUCUGCUUGAAAGGCUUGCCAGGUUUGGGAAAAGCGGCACAGUGUUGAACAUUUGGGAGGAGAUGCAAGAGAGCGGGUAUCCAUCCGAUAAAGAAAUUUACGAGUUUAUUGUAAAUGGGCUUUGCAAUGUGGGUAAGGUUGAUGCUGCUGUUUCUGUGGUGGAGGAAUCACUUAGGAAAGGCUUCUGUCUAGGGAGAGUUGUUUAUAGCAAACUGAAUGACAGGCUGCUGGAGAUGGACAAAGUGGAGACUGCAUACAAUUUGUCAAAGAAAAUCAAACAUGGGCGCACACUUGCUAAUUCACGCAACUAUUGUCGGGCUAAUGGUUGGCACCUGUGA